rnacentral:lncRNA from 1 species
GGCGGCAAAAAGCCACGGCGGCGAGGGCAAAGAGCCCCAAAAGCCGCGGCGGCAGGGGCUAAAUUCCGCGAGGCCGGGGGCAGAAAGCCGCGGCGGCGGGGGCAGAAAGCCGCAAAAACCCGCAGCGGCGGGGUCAAAAAUCCACGACGGCAAAAAGCCGCGUCGGCGGGGGCAAAAUAGUGGAAAUGGGGUAGACAGCCAGCACAGCUUGGCAUUCCUGGAGUGUGAUGUGGAAGGAAAAGUGCAGAGGAAGACAAACAAAGAUGUAGAAACAGAGUUAGAUAAAAAAAGGACUUGUCUCGGAGCAUGAUUUCUGAAAAUAGUGGAAUCGAGUUUGAAUCUAGAUGCAUGUCCUCCAAGAAGCAGAAUCAAAAUAUAAAUAAAAGACUGGCUUAAGAUGAAAGGAAACCUUACAAACGAAAAGAAGCCAGAUGAGAGGCACUUAACUGAGAAUGAAAAGAAACUGAGUGGACAAAAUAAUUAUGAGAAGAUGAACCUUCAAAUCAGAAAGAGGGCAAAAAGCUUAUUUGAUACUAUGGGAACUCAAAAGAGAGUGAACACAAAUGUGAAAAUUCCAGGAGUAAAGAAAAGUAGCAUAGCUAAAUUAAGAGCAUGAGAAAAUGUAUACAAUUUUGAGUAAUAACAGAAAUCAAAAGUAACUAUUGUAUGUUAUAUUUUAGUAGAGCAACACUGAAGAAGAAUGAAAACAAGAAAUAAUAUUAAAUAUGAACAUAUGGA